UCGGUGAAGGUGUCGGUGACGGAAGAACAUUGUUCAUCGUAGAUUCAAAUUGGUACAUAUCGAUUCCGUUUGUGAAGAAGAACACCCCCAGUCACGGAAUCAACUCUUUAACUUGGGCCAGAACCCUAGCCCGUUGGUUGAGUUGGUUUCAUCGCAUGCAGCAUUGUGUCUAUGCUUACCUGCCCCUUAUCCUUGAAGUUAGACGUUCCAUUUUGCUAACAUUCUUGCUCUCUGGCUUUUGUCGAGUGUGGAUCCGGCUUCGCCCAUGUCGAGUCUGCUUCUGAGCCCACCUGCAUUGCUUUGUCAUGUGUUUCUCUAUGAAGGGCGCAACAAAUACCGAGCUGCUUAGAAUCAAGUCCCUGAUGAUGCACCGCGUGGCUUCUCCCCAAAGGCAUAUUUCAUCCUUGAAGGGUUACUGAAUGACCAUAGGCGUUACUCUGAAGAAUAAUUUGACCUGGAAUUGUGUGGACGAAGAAGUUGCUGCGCGGAUUCCUCUUUGUAGUGUUGAGAGAUGCAGAAGAGGAUGCUGUUACUGCUCUCUAGCGUGUUCUCCCUGUGCAUUGCGUUACUUUCGACAAGUGGAAUUCGGUUCAGUCACUGAUCGCGAAGUCUCUGCAUGCCAGCUCAACCAACGAAUGCUUGUGUGCGUUUACUUACGAGCUUCAAACAACUCGAGAUGAGCUCCACCUACAUGGCAGAUCAGUAUGAACGUAUGCAGUGAAACAUGAUACCACCUUUUGAGGGGAGAGCAUUGCUCUGUACCCUGUGAUCACCAUGAGCUUUCUAAUGAAUGCUACCAAUAAAACCACUGAAUCCAGUGUGUGAGAAAUCGAUGUCAGUAACGGGCGACCCAGCAUUUCUACAAUACUUCAUAUCCUCGAAUGGCCUGCUUAUUCAACGGGUUGAAGAGAUACGUGUCCUUCCAUGUCAGGGUCUAAUGCUGCCUCCAUUCAAUUCUCUCUGGGUAACAAAGAAUACCACAGUCAACUCAAAGACAAAUACCAGGAGCACAUCCCAGAUUGCGGAUUGGUUGUUUUCUGUUUUUUUUCAAUUUUGGAACAUGCGUGUUUGCGCCCAUUGCAACAGCACCUUCGCCAGCAGUGUUAAAGCCCACCCAGAACAGUUUCCUCAUAGAAUUGUCCACCCCACAAUUAAACAAUCCACGCUUCUAUGGUAAUGCUGAGAAGGAUCAGCACCAUCGACGUGAACCGAUGCAGGUGUGACAGCAUGCACAGGGGAAUGCAUUCAUCCGAGAUCUGGAGACCGUUUGAAAUGGGUGGCAGGGCGGAGAGUUUAGCCUGCGAGCUGCAUGAGUCGCAUUACGAGAUUAUGUACUUAUUAACUUACACAUCGCCAUCAUGUGUUGGGCUCCAACCCCACGCUCCACGUAGUCAGUUGAGUUGUGCAUUACACUCGCAAGGCCCUCAGAUUGGCCACCCAUCUUCCACACAGCAGUCAGGAGAAUUUAAUUGCUUAAGCUCUGGGUCGACACAAUAAUCGAGGUGGGGCAUAUUCACAAACGUGGUUCACUUUGUGUUUGUUUACAAAGACGUGCUACGACUUGCAUGGAUCGCAAGGCAGCGGCGCCAUGGGGCACUCGCGAAACCCGAGCGACCGGAUUCGCAAUCAUGGAGCCUUGGGAUGAAUUUCCUGCCCACUGCUCUCUUUUGUACAUUUGUGGAAGUUUCCCAAAUCAGGGUCGGAGGGAAAAUUGGAGCCCCUCCCGAGGCAGGUGAUUCGAGUGGGGGUUUGGACAGUAGCUCCCGCGGGAGGGAGAAUUUUCGGUCCGUUUUAGUAUUCAACUGGGAGUCUGGGACACACAUUUCCCCUCGAUCAGCUGCAGCUUGGGCACCAAUAGCACGAUGUCCGCGCACCACUACAAGGGAACACCUCGGUACGAUAUUAUUAUAUUCUUGAGGACGAAUAUGGCUCCUGGACUUACAGCCAAUGCAGGCAAAUUUUGGGCAGGGGAAUACUCUCCCCCCAGAUGCUCUGAUUCCAAGUCCCUUGGGGUCUCCCAGAGCCCGUGCAGAUGUGCUUCAGCACCUUGGGGUGCCCGAUAAUGCCCGAGCAAUACUGGCGAUGUCCCGAUCCGGAAGCUGGCAAUUGCAAUCAGUGCGGGAAAAAGAAAAAGAACCAUAAACCGCACCGGCCUGGCCUGGCCAUCGGCGGAGAGACCGAUAACGAUGAUCCGGAACACAAGAUCCGGCAGCUAGAGCAGUUGCACUCGCCGCAGUACAGUCGUUUUUACUACUUCUGCUCAUUGCUCCCCCCCCCUCCUUAACGUACACCGGCCUCGUACGAGCACCGCUAUUGUACACUCCAACCCAUAGCAGACCGGAUCAGAGCUUGCAUUCAUAUCGUACUUCCUGCCACCCCUCCUUUCUCACAUUAUCAUAAUCCCACCGUGUCGCCGCUGUGUAGCGUUGCCUUGGUCCCGUCGUUAUGAGGGCUUAAUUAAUCCGAUCUCGCCGCUUCUUCGCACCCAAGAA